UCAGUGUUUGGAAGACAAAAGGCUUAAUAGAGGGUUUUGUCUGAUGUAGGGGUCCAAAUGAAAAUUAGAUAUUGGCCUCCAGGUGCCUGCCCAUUUCUGAAGAGGUCAGAAAGCAGUCCCUGGAGUACACCAGUUAUCAGCUUGAUCAACAGGCAUCAGGGUUGAUUAGCUGAAUCAGACAUCCAGUUCUAAUCAUCCACUGUCUAGAAACUGAACUCCCAUCAAAUUAAUAUGGGGCUUUUUUUGUAUGUUUUUCAGAGCACUUUAGCAAGUCAGUGGUUCCGGAGAAAGUCUAACUUGUCCCAGUUCUGCCAUGAGAAAAGAAAGAGGAGGAGGUUAUGCUGCUGUAAUGGCUUUUUGAAAGCGGUAUGCCUUUUAAUAAAGCACUGAGACUCACAUUUUCCUACAUGGUAAAAGAGAAGAAUAAGGGAGUAGUAACUAAGGGAGGGAGAAUGCAAAUGUGAGUAGGGAUGUGGGACAGUCAAGCCCACAUCUCAAAUGUCACACAGCAAGUAGUAAUUCAGCUGAGAGUCAGAUCUGCCCUGUGUUGCUUGGGGUGUUCAGUGCCUUGUGCUUUCCAUCUUUCUUUACAUCCCCUUAGACUCCUGUGAGGAGCUUUAGCAAAGGCUGACCACAGAGAGCUGGACCUGUUUCCUUCCUCCUCUGGCACACUGCAACCUUAGCACAUCUGGUCAGGCUUGUCUUUGAUCUCCCUUAAAAGCUCUUUGUCAGAAAGUAUGUCUCAGCCAUGGCUGGAACCUUGACCUUUCUCCUGAGCACAUGACCCAAUGUGUCCCCUUCUUUCUCAUUUAACUCCGUACAAGGCUAUGUUAGCGAGGGCUCAGAAGCUCAGUAACCACUUAUCUGGACUUUAACUGCUCAGUGUGCUUGGCCACUGUUGCUUUAGGCAAGAGAAUUAGAGGAGUGUUUGAGGAGAAAACAAAGAGAAAAUGGAGAAUGGAUGGGAGUACAUCACCAAUAGAUUGAAUUUAGAUGUGAGAGUGGAAGUGGGGGAGCAACAGAAGACAUGAAACUAAUCAAGCAAAUAUUAAUGAAGUACUGGAAGAGGAAAUUGUGCUCGUUAGUAUUAAACCAGUAUUGUCAGCCUGACAGAAUUAGUGGGGAUGAUGUCUACGUUGUCAGCACUAGCCGAGCUGAGCCAAGCUCCUGGAGUGCCCAGAUGAACCAUCAAAGCAGUCUUUUGCUAGUCAGAAGGGGGGUAGCUGAGCACCAUACAAGCUGCACUCCAGCUCUCUCCACAAGCUGCACACCAGCUCUCCCCAGGCAGCCGCAGCAAGCAAGCAGGGCUCAGAUCCUUGGGCCAGGAUCCAAGGAGCGGUAGCGUGAAGGUCUUGUGCACAUUUCACACCUACAGCACAGGACUGACAGGAGCCUCCAGAGCACUGUUGCAAGGGGAGUAGAAGAAUUAGAAAGGAUGGAUAAGAUGGAAGAAGGAAGCAGACAGACUGAAAUGGAAGAGAAAAACUGAAACAAAUGUUGAUAAUAUUAAAAGCAUAGUCUAGAUCUUGCCAACAAAAUUGUUAGCAUAUGAGGGGAAGCAUCUUUCAAUUAGAAUCCACCUGUAUGUACUUUGGUUGUUCCUAAAAUAUAUAUGUAGGGCUACUUUAUAUAUGUGGUUGCACAGAAAACUAGUCCUCUGCUUUGUGUUGAAACUGUGCCAAUAACAGCAGCUAAAACUGUUUUUCUAGCAUUGCAAUAUUUCACUUGGCAUUCCAUGUGAUGCAGAAGACAGCAGAACCAAAAGGGAGAUGGAUUAAUGUAGGUAGGUAUUUUCUGCAUUGGACAAACCUACUUAAUGCCAUUACUUAUUCCUCCCUUGUGGAUACACAGGCACCUAAGCAUAUGUCAGAUAGUUUGAAAAUGUUGCUGGCAAUAAGAAGGGCAGUGUCCUUGACCAUUCACCUCUGACAUAGCCAUAAUUAAGGAAUUCCUCAAAUUCUGAAUUGGAAUUAUGAGUGCAUUUUAUCCCAUUUAUUUAUAUUUUAUAGCAGUGCAACACAACAAAGGUAUAUCUUGGCCUUUCUUUGCCUUCACACCCUUUUAAAUAAAAAUUUCCACAUAAUAUUGCCAUAUUCCAUGUUUUUUCUCUUAGCAUAUGGUCAGAUGAGGGUGCUCUCUCCUAAUGACUAGUGGUUAUUUUCUAAUAAUGCUAAGAUUUCCAUAACUAAGAUGGAUGUUUCUAAGGGAAUGACUAUAUGAGUGCUUGCAGCUGUGUUCAAAACAUAGCACAGCCAAAGACUGUCAUGAGUGAUGUUACACACCCAGAAUUCGGUUCCAAGCAGUGUUGGGGCUGCAUUUUAAUAGCUCAUUUUAGUUCCUAGGCUUCUUCAUGAAAAUCAAAAUUCUGGAUGUUGUAGGAUUAGUCAAUGACAAAACCCAUCUGGAAGAUGAUUUUUUUUCUCCCACUGAAACUGGGUGGAGAUCUGAGUUUGCAUCCUUGCUCUCUAACUAUUCUCUGUUCCUGGCCAAAGCAGAAUCCCUUGCGAUUGAGAUCCUGAGCCUGUUUAAAUAAUCCUUUAUAAGGGUUCUGAUUUUCUCAUUAUAGACACAAAUUUCAGAUCUGAGGUUCUGGUGUCUCUAUAGCUCUUUCCUAGGCUCUAUGUGAUUAUAUUAGCUCAUGGCUCUAGUCCUGAAGAGAGUGUAAUUUCAUCCUCACAUUUCAAAAGGUUAAUCUCUUCUCAUUAGCAAUAAAGGGUCACAUCAUGUGGCUUAAAAAAAUAGUAACAUACAUCUGAAUUUCCUACCCAUGUGAGCAGUGGAAAAAUGAACAGGAGUGGGAAGGCGUCAUCACAUCAUAUACUUAACUCAUCUAAAUCUGGAUGCUUAAAUUAGGUUCCUCCACCAAGUAGAGUCAGGAGGAGUCAUCUCUUUCACUGUUAGGAAAGUCAAGAGAGAUUAGGCUCCUAAUUUAUUUAUCAAAAUAUUUUAUUAUGUACCAAACACCUUUAAAAGGUGCUGUGAUUAUCUCACCUUCUUCCCAACCUCACAACUUCUUAAGCUGCUAACUUACUAAUCCUGCUGAACUUUCAGAAGUACACCAGAACACCACCUUCUCUUGGGCUCUAGACCCACAAGAAACAACAAAGAAGCUUGAAGAAAGAUGAGAAGGAAAUACUUUCAGAAAAAAAAUCCAGAGUUGAAGAGGAGGAGCUGCAGAUGUGUGUCACAGCCACAACAGUAGCUACUAUGUUUGGAGUUAAACCUCAGCCAGCCUGAACUGUGAGAGCUUAAUGAGCAAAACUGGCCAUGCACUUAAAUAUUUGGGCUGAAGGACUGAAGAAGGUCAUGUUUUGAAGACCUAACUACAGACAAUCCAAUCAUGAUGGGGGUAACAAGGUAUUUCUAGGAGGCAAAGGUGUGACUCUAGCAGAGCCAGGUAGGCAGGAGCUGUCGUGGGAAGGGCCACCAAGCUGACGGUGCCUCACGAGCUGAUGCCCAGCAUUCCUGGGGGCUGUAAGGGCCCCACCACUGCAACAGCCUCCCUGCCAUGGGCUUCAGCAACCCAAAGGUUGCACAGACCUUUAAUCUGAAUCUAGCUAGAUGAAAGCUGCUGCAGGCAUACCUAGCCAUGACGUAAUGACAACUUUGAUUACAGUGUAGGUAUCUUUGAAAAUAGAAGAUCUUGAGAACUGAGGUCAGGAUGUGAUUAUAAGAAUUACAGGGUUUCCUGAAAACCCAUUGAUUCUUCUAUUUUAAUCCUGAUGACCAGCUACGUCAAAAUGAUCUGCCAGGAGCCAUCGCAGCCAAAUCCACAAUAAAGGAAACAACGCAUGGAUCUGCUGCAGACAUCGGAAAUCUUCCCAGAGGAGAGAAGAGGACACUGUUCCCUGCUACCAUCUUCCUGGGCAGCAGCCACACACCAGAGAGGCAAAUCACACACCAGUGGUACUCGGAGAUCAGAGACUUGACCCAAGGAAGUCUUCCCAGUACCUCUGCUAGAUGUACAGACCGGCGGCAGCAAGUGCAGUCUUGGCCACAAAAGGUUUUUUGCCGUGUGACCUGAAAGGCGCAUCUGGAUGCGGGAACCGAUGCCAACGGCGAGGGAACUCUGAGGCGUAACAGAAGCUGAAUUUGUCAUGAGAUUUAAAGAAAAACAACGCACCCAACAACAGCAACAAAUCGCCCGGUGGGUGCCCUGGAGCCGGGCUUUCAUCUCCCGCCCACUCGCGGAAGGACCGCCCUGCCCUGCCCUGCCCUGCCCU